ACCUGGGUGGCUCAGUCGGUUAAGCAUCUGACUUCAGCUCAGGUCAUGAUCUCGCACUUUGUGGGUUCAAGCCCCACGUCGGGCU
rnacentral:tRNA from 1 species